AAUGUUGACCCAUUUGAAUUAAUGAAAGAGUUUCCCAGUUAACAAUUAGCUGCAUAAGGCCAUUUCCUGUAGACAUAAUAUUUGGGGGUGAUGCUUAUGAUUUGCUGCUUAAUUCAUCACAGCAUUGAUUGCUAAAGAUUGUUUUUCACCGCUGUUAUUCUUACAGUUAAAUGGAUUGAAUGAAGGUGAGCCUUCUCGGUUGCACACACCAGCUUUCUUGGAGCCUGCGCAGUGUGGCUCCCAUUUGAAGAACGUGGAGGGAUCAACUAGGCCAAAGGGACUGACUUUGGGCUCGAGGAGGACCUUGGAGAUGGCACCGGGACACCCCUCUGUACCAGAGUUUUCCAUUGCACCUGAAGCAUUUUCCAUUAUGGCCACUCCCAGGGAUGAGAAGAUAGCCCUGAAGUCUGAUGGGGCCAUUGAAAGCAGAAACCCAUCCUUCUCAAAUAUGAUUGAGUUUCCCUCCUUCCCUUCAGAGCAACCUCCCGCACCUGGCAUCCUUGCUUUCCGCAUCCUCUCUCUGCCGCCCUGAGAUGUUGUCCCCCUUUUACAGAUGAGGACACGGAGGCCUAGAGUGGGGAUGCUGCUUGCUUCAAUGGACUCCUGGAUCUUAACUUGAUUUGUGAUCAUUCGACUUUCAGCUGAGAGAGCUGUGGUGAUGUGCAAAUGACAGAAAGCCAGGACGGGGAUGCACUUGGAAAACAGUCACACCCUGCACAUGCAAAACGGGAAAACAGUUCUCACCUCUGGCAACCUCGGUCUCACUCUAAAAGUCAACACGUCUAAA